GACGAACGCUGGCGGCGUGCUUAACACAUGCAAGUCGAACGGAAAGGCCCUGCUUUUGUGGGGUGCUCGAGUGGCGAACGGGUGAGUAACACGUGAGUAACCUGCCCUUGACUUUGGGAUAACUUCAGGAAACUGGGGCUAAUACCGGAUAGGAGCUCCUGCUGCAUGGUGGGGGUUGGAAAGUUUCGGCGGUUGGGGAUGUACUCGCGGCUUAUCAGCUUGUUGGUGGGGUAGUGGCUUACCAAGGCUUUGACGGGUAGCCGGCCUGAGAGGGUGACCGGCCACAUUGGGACUGAGAUACGGCCCAGACUCCUACGGGAGGCAGCAGUGGGGAAUAGUGCACAAUGGGCGGAAGCCUGAUGCAGCAACGCCGCGUGCGGGAUGACGGCCUUCGGGUUGUAAACCGCUUUCGCCUGUGACGAAGCGUGAGUGACGGUAAUGGGUAAAGAAGCACCGGCUAACUACGU
rnacentral:rRNA from 1 species